rnacentral:lncRNA from 1 species
CCACUAACAAACAUCUCGCAUGCUCAAGCCGGGCCCUGCCCUCCACAACAAUGUUGUCAUUCUGCAAAAGGGAGGUUGUGGCUUCAGAUAAAACACCAGGCACCCGGUUCCCAUUGUGGCUCAGCAGUAACGAACCUGACUAGCAUCCAUGAGGAUGUGGGUUCGAUCCCUGUCCCUGCUUAGUGGGUUAAGGAUCCGGCAUUGCCGUGAGCUGCGGUGUAGGUUGCAGAUGCAGCUCUGAUUCAACCCCUAGCCUGGGAACUUCCAUACGCAGCAGGUACGGCCCUAAAAAGCCAAAAAAUAAUAAUUAAAAAACCCCAAAAAUCCCACCAGGCAGAAGGGGCCUUGACAGACCAAGUGAGGAAGGCUGGUCAGCUGGUGGGGAGGGGGUCAGCAGGACAGGACCUGGUACAGAUGGGGCAAGACUGGCCCUCGGGUGGCCUUUGAGGGUCUCGUUCUUAGAACGAGGGGCUGCAGUUACGGUUACAGGAGCGAGGGUGGGGGACGGGGGGCAGCCUUUGGAGGCCAGGUCCCUGCGUCAUCUCCUCCCUUCCCCUGGGGCCUCCCUCUGACCACCACCGUCCCUCGCUCAGGACCCAGCUACCGGUCUAUGAGCCGGGCACUCCGGUUUUCAGAAGACACGAGCAAAGACAACCCAAAGGGCAUUUCUAAUGCCCCCUCCCCAUUGCAUCACGGCAGCCUCCCUGCUGAAAGGGUGACAAGGGCCCUGCUGCUUCCACCUGGACAGCUGGGCCUGGAUGCCGGCUGUGGAGGGUGAGGCAUCUGGAGGGGCGCCUGGUGGGCUCCUGGGGUCACUUCCACCCUGGUUCCACAGGGGACAGGCUUGAGAGGAGAACGUUCACACACACCCAACUCCUCUGGCAGCUGGCGAUUCUGGUUCUGUCGCCGUUGCACAAGCCUGACUCCAAGCUCGGAGGCAGCACGGGCUGGGGAGAGCCACAGGGCAGGCCUCCUUCCCAGUUUCAAAAGAAAAGGAUGAGGCAAGAAGAGGAACCCGCAACAAGAAGUAAGUGGCAAGGGCAGAAAAGGGGCCGUAAAAACAGAAGGAAAGAGACGGACAACCACGGAGAAGGGGAACCUUCUGAGCUUCACGCUCUGGGCCCAGCUCUGCCUCUGGAGUCGCCAAGGAGGAGCCCACGCCUCCCCUCCCGAGCCCGGCCACCGUGACGGCAGCCAGGGCACUGGGGGAUGUGUGCAUGUGCGGGUGCGUGUGUUAACAGAUAUCACAGACACACACACAAACGUGUACACAUCCACAUCCACAUUCAGACACACACAGACACGGUACACCCGCACGUGAGCACACGCACUUACUUCCGCUAUUCCUCCCAAGUCCUAUGGUCGGUGGUGGCAGCAGAGCUGCUAUUAUUUGCUGCACAGAGACGUUAAGCGCUUUGCCCGGGGCUGCCAGCUUCCUGCCCAUCUCUGAGGGGCUGGGAUGGACAUGGCCCGAGGUCACAGCUACCUCGUCCGCCCUUUGGUCCUAGUGCAGAGCCUGCACCUCAGGGCAGUGCCCACGGCGGCGCCCUGCCCUGGACCUCGGCACAUUUGGGCUCCCCUGCAGUCUGAGGCUCUCCCUGGUCCCUUUCCUGCUGGGAGCUUGCAGAGGCUCUGGCUGUCAUCCUCGCUCUGGGCGCCACGGCGCUCACAUGGACCGGGUCAGGGCCUCUGGGGGCCAAGUUUAUCAGAGCUGCCCAUUUUCCCAAAGGUCCGACCGACAAGGCACUCACUCUGUGUGUCUGAGUGUCUCACACACUGGGGCCCUGGGCCAGGCACUGGGGCUCCUUGACGGCGAGGCUUGUGUGGCUCACUGGCCCCCAGGCCUCCGCCAGGUAGGUGGCUCUAUAAACCAAAGUCAAAAACCCACAAGAGAGAGACUGGCAUCCAGCUGAUGGCAGGACACACGGAGCAGCACCAACCCUCAGUACAAGCCGGCCUUCCCACAGCCAGGCAGACCUGCUUGCUUCCUAGCAGCUACAAAUGCGGGGAACGCCCCGCCCAAGGCCAGGGUCUGGGGGCAAUGAGUCACCAUCUGGCCGAGAGCAGGUCCCACGACACCAGCACACAGGGUGCCCGGGCACAGGGCCCUCCCUGCUCUAGCCUGCAUCCAGGCUCUUCAGAUGCACAGAGGUAGCCACGGGCCAGGCUCUCGAGGCUCUGGAGAAGCAAGGCCCACCUCCCGAGGCCAUAAAUCAUCCCGCAGGGGAGCCAGAGCAGGCAGAGCUCCAUGGAAAGAGGGCUGGCUGCAUCUGGAGGCUUGGUGGGGGGCAGCUCAGGGCCCAGCCGUCCCCAGGGUGCUGGCCAGGGCCCUCUGGCCCACAUGCUCCCCAGGGGCCCUUUCUCUGCAUUCCCUGGACUCUGCCC